rnacentral:lncRNA from 1 species
AUUUGAUUGUAAUGUCUCAGUGUGGAUCUUUUUUAGUUUAUCCUAGGACUUGAUCAAGCUUCUUGGAUAUGUAGUUUUAUAUCUUUCCUCAACUUUGGGAAGUUUAUGGUCAUAAUUUCUUCAGAUAGUCCCUCUGCACCUUUCUCAUUCUCUCUCUGUAUGGAAUUCCAUUAUAUGUACAAAUAGUACCUUAGAUUAUGUCCCACAGGUUCAUCAGGUUUGACAUUUCUUCAUUCUUUUCUUUUUCUACUUUCCAGACUAUUGACUUAUCAAGUUUACUGAUUAUUCUGCCUGUUUAAAUCUGCAGUUGAACUCCUGUAGUGAAUUUUUCAUGUCAAUGAUUAUAUCUUUCAGAUUCAGAAUUUCUAUUUGGUUUCUUUAGGAACCAAUAUUUUUCUCUCUCUUUAUUUAUAGUCUGUAUUUUUUGAGAAAUCAUUCUGCUGAUUUCCUUCAAUUCUUCCUCGAUCUCUUUGAGCAUAUCACAACUAUAGAUAUUCUUCAUCUCUUAAGUUCAAUGUCUAGUCUUUUUUAUGAACAUUUCUCUUAAAUUUGUUUUUUAACUGAGACCGGACCAUACUUUUUAUUUCCUUGCAUGCCUCAUAAUUUUUUUAUUGAAAACUGGACAUUUUAGCAGAGCAGGAUGAGGGAAAAGAUGGAAAGGGAAGAUAAGGGGGAAUGAAAUUGAUAAAAUUACAUGUGUAGGUACAGAUAUGGCAUAAUAAAUCCAGCUCUUAUGUAUUACUAUAGUGUGUCGAUAAAAACUGGACAUUUUGAAUGUUAUAAUGUAGCAACUCUGGGAAUCAGAUUCUCCUACCUCUCCAAGGCUUGUUUCUGUUGCUUAUUGUGGAUUUUUGCUAUUUCUUUGCUUAGUGACUUUUUCUAAACAACUUUUUUGAAGUCUCUAUUCAUUGUUGUGUGUAUUUGACAGAAGUCCAUGUUAUAUGUGCUUAAUGUUCAGUUGGUAUUUUGGUGGAGUUUCCUUAAAUGUCUGGAGCCAAGAAAUGAAAAGGAAGAAGAAAGAGACAAAGGAGGAGAUAAAGAAGAUGAUGAAGAAGAAGGAUGAGGAAGAGGAGGAACAAGAGGAGGAGGAGAAGCAAGAAAGAAGAAAGAAAAUAGAAAAAAAAUACCCUUGUAUAUGGGCUCUGUGGGGCAGGUUGUUGAUAACACUGACUCUGCUUUCACUGCCUACAUAUAUGAAACCUGAAGGCCUGCUAGAGGUGAAAGCUUAGGAUCUUCUCAGCCCUUUUCAAGAAGAUGUUCUUUCAUGGGAAUGCAUAUGAUUUUAUUGAUCCCAUGGUAUACAUAGGAGUUUUAAAAUAUUCUUUCCACACAUAUCUCCUGUUUCAUCCUCUUUUAUCCAGACUUCUAGGUAUGUCUAUUGCUUGUCUCAAGUGUUGUCUCUCA